GCCAGGCAUGGUGGCACAUGCCUGUAGUCCUAGCUACUUGGGAGGCUGAGAUAGGGGGAUCACUUGAGUCCAGGAUUUCAAGAUUGCAGUGAACUAUGGUUGUACCACUGCACUCCAGCCUGGACAACAGAGUGAGACCAUGUUUAUA
ensembl:misc_RNA Metazoa_SRP Metazoan signal recognition particle RNA